rnacentral:siRNA from 1 species
GAAGGAGAUUGAAUGCAAAAUGGU